rnacentral:sRNA from 1 species
AUGGCUGUCGUCAGCUCGUGCUGUGAAGUGUCGGGUUAAGUCCCAUAACGAGCGCAACCCCUAUUCUUAGUUGCCAGCGGUUCGGCCGGGGACUCUAAGAAAACUGCCAGUGCAAGCUGUGAGGAAGGUGGGGAUGACGUCAAAUCAUCACGGCCCUUACGACCUGGGCCACACACGUGCUACAAUGGUAGGUACAAAGGGCAGCCACUUGGCGACAAGGAGCUAAUCUCUAAAACCUAUCUCAGUUCGGAUUGGAGUCUGAAACUCGACUCCGUGAAGCUGGAAUCGCUAGUAAUCGGAUAUCAGCCAUGAUCCGGUGAAUACGUUCCCGGGCCUUGUACACACCGCCCGUCAAGCCAUGGAAGCUGGGAGUGCCUGAAGUCGGUCACCGCAAGGAGCCGCCUAGGGUAAAACUGGUAACUAGGGCUAAGUCGUAACAAGGUAGCCGUACCGGAAGGUGCGGCUGGAACACCUCCUUUCUAGAGAAAGAUGGUGAGUUACAAAAGGGUUAUUUUUUCUCUUUGCUGUCAAUUUUAAAAUAUACAAAUAUUAAGCUAUUUAGUCUCGUAGCUCAGCUGGUUAGAGCGCUACACUGAUAAUGUAGAGGUCGGCAGUUCGAGUCUGCCCGAGACUACUAAGUUUUUUAAUAUUUGAAGGAAAUUCUGGAAGUUAGAGGAUUCAACAUUCAUAAUUCUGAAUUCAACAUUCUGAAUUUCAUAAAUGGGGGAUUAGCUCAGCUGGCUAGAGCGCUUGCCUUGCACGCAAGAGGUCAUCGGUUCGACUCCGAUAUUCUCCACAACAAAUUGGUUAGUCUAUUGAUAUAGAUUGAUUGGUUUAUAAGUUCAUUGACAUAUUGGUAAAAGUGAUAUCGUAAAGAAUCAAGAUAGAGACGUUUAGUUUAGACUAAACGCAUAAAUUUUUAUAAGAAUAAAAGAGCUCGUUGUAGUAUUUAUACUACGGCAAAAAGUACAAUAAGUUAAGUAAGGGCGUAUGGCGGAUGCCUAGGCUCUCAGAGACGAUGAAGGACGUGAUAAGCUGCGAAAAGUUACGGGGAGAAGCACAUAUUUUAUGAUCCGUAAAUAUCCGAAUGGGGAAACCCGG